AUGCCAUGUUGAGGGCAUUGAGUAGUGAGAGACUUGAACCUUUCAUAGUAAUCUGCGUAGGACUCAUCUUGCCCUUGUUGGAUGCCACUUAUCUUCUUCCUAAGCAU
rnacentral:snoRNA from 1 species